rnacentral:rRNA from 1 species
GACGAACGCUGGCGGCGUGCUUAACACAUGCAAGUCGAACGAUGGAGGAGAGCUUGCUCUCCGGAUUAGUGGCGAACGGGUGAGUAACACGUGACUAACCUGCCCCUUUCUCUGGGAUAACGCUCCGAAAGGAGUGCUAAUACCGGAUACGAACUCUGAACACAUGUUCGGAGUUGGAAAGUUUUUCGGAAAGGGAUGGAGUCGCGGCCUAUCAGCGUGUUGGUGAGGUAGCGGCUCACCAAGGCGACGACGGGUAGCCGGCCUGAGAGGGCGACCGGCCACACUGGGACUGAGACACGGCCCAGACUCCUACGGGAGGCAGCAGUGGGGAAUAUUGCACAAUGGGCGAAAGCCUGAUGCAGCGACGCCGCGUGAGGGAUGAAGGUCUUCGGAUUGUAAACCUCUUUCAGUAGGGACGAAGCGAAAGUGACGGUACCUAAAGAAAAAGCACCGGCUAACUACGUGCCAGCCGCCGCGGUAA